UACGGAGGGUGCAAGCGUUAUCCGGAUUCACUGGGUUUAAAGGGUGCGUAGGUGGGCAGGCAAGUCAGUGGUGAAAUCUCCGAGCUUAACUCGGAAACUGCCGUUGAUACUAUUUGUCUUGAAUAUUGUGGAGGUAAGCGGAAUAUGUCAUGUAGCGGUGAAAUGCUUAGAUAUGACAUAGAACACCAAUUGCGAAGGCAGCUUACUACACAACGAUUGACGCUGAGGCACGAAAGCGUGGGGAUCAAACAGG
rnacentral:rRNA from 1 species